CCCUUAGAUGUUCUGGGCUGCACGCGCGCUACACUGAUACUUUCAGCGAGUCCACCACCUUGCCUGAGAGGGUGGGGUAACCUCUGGAAAGUGUAUCGUGAUGGGGAUCGAUUAUUGUAAUUAUUAAUCUUCAACGAGGAAUUCCUAGUAAACAUGUGUCAUCAGCCCGUGCUGAUUACGUCCCUGCCCUUUGUACACACCGCCCGUCGCUACUACCGAUUGAACGGUUUAGUGAGGGCCUCGGAUUGGUCUCGGCCCGCUCUUUACCGGGCGGCGCCGUUGGUCGAGAAGACGCUCGAACUUGAUCGUUUAGAGGAAGUAAAAGUCGUAACA
rnacentral:rRNA from 1 species